rnacentral:rRNA from 1 species
UGCGGAAGGAUCAUUACCUAGAGUUGUAGGCUUUGCCUGCUAUCUCUUACCCAUGUCUUUUGAGUACCUUACGUUUCCUCGGUGGGUUCGCCCACCGAUUGGACAAAUUUAAACCCUUUGCAGUUGAAAUCAGCGUCUGAAAAAACUUAAUAGUUACAACUUUCAACAACGGAUCUCUUGGUUCUGGCAUCGAUGAAGAACGCAGCGAAAUGCGAUAAGUAGUGUGAAUUGCAGAAUUCAGUGAAUCAUCGAAUCUUUGAACGCACAUUGCGCCCCUUGGUAUUCCAUGGGGCAUGCCUGUUCGAGCGUCAUUUGUACCUUCAAGCUCUGCUUGGUGUUGGGUGUUUGUCUCCUGUAGACUCGCCUCAAAACAAUUGGCAGCCGGCGUAUUGAUUUCGGAGCGCAGUACAUCUCGCGCUUUGCACUCAUAACGACGACAUCCAAAAGUACAUUUUUACACUCUUGACCUCGGAUCAGGUAGGGAUACCCGCUGAACUUAAGCAUAUCAAUAA